GACCCCAGAGAUGGAUACAGAUGAACAAAAGGAACAUGACUUAAGAUCUGCUUUAAAGGAGAAGGAAACUGAAGCCUUGCAACAAAGGACUCAAGAGAUGGACACACAUGAACAAAAGCAACAUGAUUUAAGACCUGCUCUAAAAGAAACGGAAACUGAGGCUGAAGCUGAAGCCUUGC